AUGAACGCUAGCGACAGGCUUAACACAUGCAAGUCGAGGGGUAACAGGGUAGCAAUACCGCUGACGACCGGCGCACGGGUGAGUAACGCGUAUGCAACCUGCCUAUAACUGGGGAAUAGCUCCCUGAAAGGGGAAUUAACACCGCAUAACACUAUUGAUUCGCAUGGAUUAGUAGUUAAAUGUAGCGAUACAGGUUAUAGAUGGGCAUGCGUGACAUUAGCUAGUUGGUGAGGUAACGGCUCACCAAGGCUACGAUGUCUAGGGGUUCUGAGAGGAAGGUCCCCCACACUGGUACUGAGACACGGACCAGACUCCUACGGGAGGCAGCAGUGAGGAAUAUUGGUCAAUGGGCGCAAGCCUGAACCAGCCAUGUCGCGUGCAGGAAGACUGCCCCUAUGGGUUGUAAACUGCUUUUAUAGUAGAAGAAACACAUCUACGCGUAGAUGUCUGCCAGUAUACUAUGAAUAAGCAUCGGCUAACUCCGUGCCAGCCGCCGC
rnacentral:rRNA from 1 species